rnacentral:lncRNA from 10 species
GAAAGAACUCUGCAAUGCUGCAGCAAUAAUUCCUGUAAUGAUUCCCAAGACUUUUCUCCAGACAGAUCUGUAGCUGUUUACCUGAGCAACUGUUCACUGGGUAAACCGAUUUAUGAUCAGUGAAUCACAGAGGGGAAGAGAAUUUAUCUGGAGGUGGUAAGGAGAACAUUCAGUUAUCUGACUACACCCGUAACCCUACAUACACUGGAUUCUACAAUGGCUGAUAGACUGUGAACUCAGUAACGGAGGAAACUUUAUCAUUGUACAGCCAGCACCUAGCAUAGUGCCUGAUACAUACAAGAAACUGAAACUUCCUAAGAAAUCGGCCUUCUGGUAUUGUGGAAUGAGAAAAAUUUUCACUUGCGGGUACCCUACUUAUUGACUCUUCCAAGGUCUUUGACGGCUGCCUGCUCACCUCCUACAGUGCCCUAAAAGAAGUAUUUGCUUGACAUGAAAGAUCUUUGUAGAAAGACUCCAUGGAACUGACCUCAAACUGCCCUGACUCUAGACAAGGGACCAAAAAAAAAAAAAAAAAAAAAUGGAGAAGCUGGGCAGUCACAAAUGAUCAACAAAUCUGUAAGCCAUGCAUUCCCUAUCAAUGAUUUUGCAAAUUUACAGCUUUUGAAAAUCUGUAUCACAGACCUAUUGUGAGUACAGACAAGGAGAGUGUUUCCCAAUGUUUAGUGGUGAUCCUAGUAUGAGCUGAAGUGUGUUUCCCCAAAAUUCAUAUGUUGAAGCCCUAACCUCCAGUACUUCAAAAUGUACUGGAGGGCUGGGCAUGGUGGCUCACACUUGUAAUCCCAGCACUUUGGGAGGCCCAGGUGGGCAGAUCACUUGAGGUCAGGAGUUCGAGACCAGCCUGGCAAACAUAGCAAAACCCUGUCUCUAUUCAAAUACAAGAAUUAGCUGGGCAUGGUGGUGUGUAGCUGUAAUCCUAGCUACUUGGGAGGUUGAGGUAGGAGAAUCGCUUGAACCCAGGAGGCAGAGGUUGCAGUGAGCCAAUAUUGUGCCACUACACCCCAGCCUGGGUGACAGAGUGAGACUCCAUCUCAAAAAAAAAAAAAAAAAUUGUAACAGUAUUUGGAGAUAAGGCCUUUAAAUAGGUGAUUAAGGUAAAAUGGAGCCAUAUGGGUAGGCCCUAAUCCAAUGGGACUAGUGUCUUUAGAAGAAGACACUAGGACACAGACCAAACAGACUAAGGGGUGACCAUGUGAGGUCAUAGAGAGAACGUGUCAUCUGCAAGCCAAUGGGAGAGGCUCAGAAUAAACCAACCCUGCCAGCACCUCUAUCUUGGACUUCCAGCCUCUGUUACUGUGAAACAAUAAAAUUCUGUUGUUUAAACCACCCAGUCUGUGGUAUUCUGUUACAGUAAAACUAGCUGAGUAGUACAGACCCUUCUUCAUGCAGCUGGUCUGGCAGGUUGGAGAGGGAGACUUCGUGUGGGCAUAGUGUCUGCUUUAUCCUUGCUUCCUUCACAAAGCUCAUGAG